CCCCUCUGUCCUAAUUAUACCCCUCCAUGCAAUACAUGACAUCUCACAAUUAUAUCAUUUACUUUUUUCUUCUGCUGCUUGCUUAAGAAUGCAAAUUGCUUUUUUAAAGAACAUGCAACCUAGCACCUUUCAAAUGUUUUAGCACACCUUUAUAGCAGGAUUAAAAAAAAUAAAAAUUAUUCCAGUGGGUUCACAUACUGAAAACCACUGUUGCCUCUCUCAAGGUAAAAUCUAUGUCUUCCAUUCCCCAUCCAUUCAAGAUCCAUUCAAGUAUUUCUGGAGAAGCACAGAUGAGAAAGACAGUUGUGGCCCCAGAAAGUUCACAAUCUCCUCCAGCCUGUAGGUGCUCCCCAGCAGAGGCAACCUGCAUGAAAAAGGGAGAUGAAGCAUCACUCCCUGCCCUAGAAGUCCCUAUGGUGCCAGCAGAGCAGGAGAGCAGAGGGAGCAGAACCAAGGCAUCACCUUCGGGGAGGACCCAGCACUCUCUCCCUUUCAUGCUAUUUUUGCUGAGGUUUGUUAAGGCAGGUCAAGUCAUGUGUUUCAGUGGCUUUUCUGCAAUUUAUCAGCUGUUCAGUGGGAUAAGAAUCCAGAGGGUACUAGUGCAAACUGUAACACUAUGCAUGCCUUGAGUCUAUGCCUAACACACAAGAAACACAGCAGAAGGAAAAUUAUUGCAUCAGAAAUCAUGACUUGUACCUUCUUGUUUAUGCACUUAAGUCUUUAUCCAUGGCCGUAUAGUGGAAAUUGAAAGCCUUGUCCUCACGCACCUCUUGUGUGGCACUCAGGCUUCAUUCGCACUGGUACCUAGCACUGUGUCGGGACUCAGCCCCACAGGCAGCUCAGCACCACACAGCUGUUUGCUCACUCCCCCCUCAGUGGGAAUGAGGGAGAGGAUUUGGGGAAAAGUAAACUCAUAGUUUGAGAUAGGACAGAAAAGGGAAAAUAAUAAUAAUGAUAAAAGAAUACACAGAACAAAUGAUGCA
rnacentral:lncRNA from 1 species